UACGAAGGGGGCUAGCGUUGCUCGGAAUGACUGGGCGUAAAGGGCGCGUAGGCGGUUUGUACAGUCAGGUGUGAAAUUCCCGGGCUCAACCUGGGGGCUGCACUUGAUACGUAGGAACUGGAGUGGGGAAGAGGGUCGUGGAAUUCCCAGUGUAGAGGUGAAAUUCGUAGAUAUUGGGAAGAACACCGGUGGCGAAGGCGGCGAGCUGGUCCAUUACUGACGCUGAGGCGCGACAGCGUGGGGAGCAAACAGG
rnacentral:rRNA from 1 species